GGACAGUCCAAGCCAGAAGGAAUAACGAUUGGGAUGCAAGAGAGCUGCCAGCAGAUGGAGCAGAUGAACUCAAGACCACACAACCUGGAUAAUUGUUACAUACCUCAACAGGAGGAGCAAGGGGUGGAACUGAGUUCUAGAGCUCCUAC